rnacentral:lncRNA from 1 species
UAUAUAUAUUCCAUUUUAUUUUACCCCACGUGGAUAUUCCCGAACAUUAUCCUUAACUCCCUUUUCAAAAGAAAAAACAUUAGUAUUACAUUAUUAUAUAUAAAAGACUAGAAGAAAAAACUAAACCUGCCGCCAUUGACUUUAUCAACAAAAAAAAAAAAAACCUGCCACCAUUUUACUAGUUGUUUAGUUCUUCACUUCUUCUUCACAAGCAUAUAGUGCUAUUGAAAUAACCACAAAAAUAUCAAUCCCACAAUACAAAAAUAUUCAAGAAAAAUAAAUUGAUUAAAAUGGAGUCUAAUCCUCAUCAUACCCAACAAAAACCACAUGCUGUAUUUGUACCAUUUCCAGCACAAGGUCAUGUGAACCCAAUGAUGCAACUAGCCAAACUCUUCCGUUGCAAAGGUUUCCAUAUAACCUUUGUGAACACUGAAUUCAACCACAAACGUUUGAUAAAAUCUCUUGGAGCUGAGUUUGUGAAGGGUCUACCAGAUUUUCAAUUUGAGAC